UAAGAAUGCAGCUUCUAAUUCCCUCUUCCUUGUGUUUACAUGAACUUUCCUUUGCAUUUCAGAAGCCUUAUGGAAAGAUUCCUGUGGCUGACCCAGGAGUAGUGGUGAAUUUCUCCAUCAAAGUCGACGAGACACUUCUGUUUCUGGUGACAUCCUGUGGCCUUGGCUGCCUCGGUUGGUGUGUAUACGAACAUGAAAAGAGUUCAAGUUCUAAAAAUGGAAGUUUCUGUUCUGACUUUCACAUGGUUCACAGACAAGUUGAAACAGACCAAGAAAAAACUGCAAAGAGGAUCAGAUGUGAACAUUCCAGGGCCCGCUUCCCUGUCCUGGGGUUCUUACUCUCCGUUCCCUUUUUAUUCUCACUCCCUCCUGUACCUUCAAUUGCCGGCUAACAAGCUCCAUUUCUGAUAACAGAUGCCUGACAAAGAAAGAGAAAUAAGACAUUAAAAAAAGAGGGAGGCUGGUGCGGGGGUGGGGACUGCUGAGUUCACUGCCAACAGCGCUUUACGGGAACGUGCUCGCCUUGGCUCUGCACCAACGCAAGGGAAAGAACAGGGCGGGGGCGAGGCGCCUUUGUCUUCAAACUCCUGAUGAAAUAUAGGGUUAAUAUUAGCGAUUAUUAUUAAAAUUAGCCAAA
rnacentral:lncRNA from 1 species